GUAGAAGUCCUUCAGGUGCAAAUUAAUCUUCAGGUUUCAAUUGAAGUUCCCUUCUUUUUAAUAUUGUGUGGAAGACCUCCAGCCUCCAGGUGCAGUAAUUUCUCAAAGAUCUUCAGGUUACUCUCUCUGAUGUGUCCAGUAUGUCAAGUGUACAAGAACAAGAGUUACAAGACCAUUAU